rnacentral:rRNA from 1 species
GAUGAACGCUGGCGGCGUGCCUAAUACAUGCAAGUCGAGCGAACAGACGAGGAGCUUGCUCCUCUGACGUUAGCGGCGGACGGGUGAGUAACACGUGGAUAACCUACCUAUAAGACUGGGAUAACUUCGGGAAACCGGAGCUAAUACCGGAUAAUAUAUUGAACCGCAUGGUUCAAUAGUGAAAGACGGUUUUGCUGUCACUUAUAGAUGCAUCCGCGCUGCAUUAGCUAGUUGGUAAGGUAACGGCUUACCAAGGCAACGAUGCGUAGCCGACCUGAGAGGGUGAUCGCCCACACUGGAACUGAGACACGGUCCAGACUCCUACGGGAGGGAGCAGUAGGGAACCUUCCGCAAUGGGCGAAAGCCUGACGGAGCAACGCCGCGUGAGUGAUGAAGGUCUUCGGAUCGUAAAACUCUGUUAUUAGGGAAGAACAAAUGUGUAAGUAACUAUGCACGUCUUGACGGUACCUAAUCAGAAAGCCACGGCUAACUACGUG